rnacentral:misc_RNA from 1 species
GUGAAGAACGUAGCGAAAUGCGAUAAGUAAUGUGAAUUGCAGAAUUCAGUGAAUCAUCGAAUCUUUGAACGCACCUUGCGCUCUUUGGUAUUCCGAAGAGCAUGCCUGUUUGAGUGUCAUGAAAAUAUCAACCUUGACUUGGGUUUUGUGCUCUAGUCUCGGCUUGGAAUUGGGUGCUUGCCGCUUUUACGAGCGGCUCACCUUAAAUGUAUUAGCUGGAUCUGUCUUUGAGACUUGGUUUGACUUGGCGUAAUAAGUAUUUCGCUAAGGACAUUCUUCGGAGUGGCCUCGUUUCUAGGACGCUUGUCCGCUUUCCAAUACAAGUUCCACCUCGUGGACAUGACUUUUUAUUAUCUGGCCUCAAAUCAGGUAGGACUACCCGCUGAACUUAAGCAUAUCAAUAAGCGGAGGA